CGUGUAGGCGGUCGGCCAAGUCUGGUGUGAAAGCCCGGGGCUCAGCCCCGGAAGUGCACCAGAAACUAGUCGGCUGGAGCGCGAUAGAGGAGGGUGGAAUUCCUGGUGUAGCGGUGAAAUGCGUAGAUAUCAGGAGGAACACCGGCGGCGAAGGCGGCCCUCUGGAUCGUUGCUGACGCUGAGACGCGAAAGCGUGGGGAGCAAACAGGAUUAGAUACCCUGGUAGUCCACGCUGUAAACGAUGGGUACUAGGUGUUCGGGGUAUUGACCCCCUGAGUGCCGCAGCUAACGCAUUAAGUACCCCGCCUGGGGACUACGGCCGCAAGGCUAAA
rnacentral:rRNA from 1 species